UACGAAGGGGGCUAGCGUUACUCGGAUUGACUGGGCGUAAAGGGCGCGUAGGCGGAUGGUACAGUCAGACGUGAAAUUCCUGGGCUCAACCUGGGGGCUGCGUUUGAUACGUGCUGUCUGGAGUUCGGAAGAGGGUCGUGGAAUUCCCAGUGUAGAGGUGAAAUUCGUAGAUAUUCGGAAGAACACCAGUGGCGAAGGCGACUCGCUGGACAAGUAUUGACGCUGAGGUGCGAAAGCGUGGGGAGCAAACAGG
rnacentral:rRNA from 1 species